rnacentral:rRNA from 1 species
CCUACGGGUGGCAGCAGUGGGGAAUAUUGGACAAUGGGCGAAAGCCUGAUCCAGCCAUGCCGCGUGUGUGAAGAAGGCCUUCGGGUUGUAAAGCACUUUCAGUGGGGAAGAAAGCCUUGGGGCUAAUACCCUCGAGGAAGGACAUCACCCACAGAAGAAGCACCGGCUAACUCCGUGCCAGCAGCCGCGGUAAUACGGAGGGUGCGAGCGUUAAUCGGAAUUACUGGGCGUAAAGCGCGCGUAGGCGGUCUGAUAAGCCGGUUGUGAAAGCCCCGGGCUCAACCUGGGAACGGCAUCCGGAACUGUCAGGCUAGAGUGCAGGAGAGGAAGGGAGAAUUCCCGGUGUAGCGGUGAAAUGCGUAGAGGUCGGGAGGAAUACCAGUGGCGAAGGCGGCCUUCUGGACUGACACUGACGCUGAGGUGCGAAAGCGUGGGUAGCAAAUAGGAUUAGAUACCCUGGUAGUC